rnacentral:tRNA from 1 species
GGCGGAUGUAGCCAAGUGGAUCARGGC